ensembl:lncRNA
UCAUUUCCCUCCUAACCCUCUCUCCAGGCCACAGCCUGGCCCCUCUGGGAUUUGGGAGGGGAAGUGAAUUCCUCGAGGGAAUUGGGAGCACCUGGCCAUUAGCAUCUGCUUUCUGACCCCUGACACAGCUUAGCAGCCUCUGAAAUCCAGAGUGCUGGGCUAGAGAGAAGUUGGGGAAGCCCUCAUAAGUGGGUCAAGGAUCGUGGUCGCGGAGGUGGGCCUCUGGUGACUCUCAGAACCAUCAAUCAGUGGGGGCUCCAGGAAUCUCCUGGCAGACAGCCACAUCGAUUCUCAGCCUCGAUUACCGGUGCCAGCUCCCUGAGCAGAGAAGCUGCUGGCCUCCAGGGCACUAAGAUGGGAAGGAGGACUGACAAGCUUCCCCCCAUCUCUAUCUCCUUUCUCCCUCUCUGAGCCACAGCCCGUGGAAAGGAAUUCCAGCAUGAGUGAUCAUGAGGACUAAACCAUACAGUGAAUGUAAGAGGUCAGCAUACGCCUGGCACCUGCACAUAUUCAGACAACUUCCUUUCCUCCUCCUUCUUCCUCGUUCAACGGGACAUUAAACCUUGCCAGUUUGCCACUCAGAGGUUGCCAGGAUGGAAAAGAGGACUUGAUAGGAAGGCGCUGGAUGGGAGGCAGAAGACAGAAUUAUGUGCUGAUCCCUCUAAAAGGUGGAAUUUGGGAAAGCUACCACAUCCCUGGGAGACCGGGGCCUUGUGCCGAGAGCUGUUAAGUACCAGCACGUGGAAAUGAUCUGCCAUCCAGUAGCUCCUCCUCCCACAGCCGUUCUCAUCAAGGCCUCUGGACAUCAGAAAGGCAGGCUCUUGCUUCAUCACAACUGGUGGGAGGGUGCCGGCUCCUGCUUUGCUGUUUGGAGCCUGUGUGACCUCUGAUUUCCUCGAGCCAGGGAACUGUGGGGUCCGAGAGGGAUGAAUGAAGGUGACUCAGCAUCAGUGGACCAUGCUGGGCCAUGUGGGGGCCUGCCCAGUGAAGCCAGGGUCCCCGCUCUCUGGCGUAGCUAGGCCACUCUGUGUAGCAUGAGUGGGCACUUGAAGACGGUGGGCAGUUCAAAGAACCAAAGCAUUACACACACAGAUCACCACUGAGGAGCAAGGGGAGACACAGGAGCCUUGUGCUUAGCAACACCCAGAGUGUCCCCAGCAGUGCCCCUGAGUCCAGCCCAGAGGUUGAAUGGAGCCCAGAAGGGACUGCAAAUAAGCUGAGUGCUGCAAUCAGGAUCUAAGAGCAUCUCGGUUGUUUGUAGCAAAGACUAGAAUCUGACAAGAUGAAGUUUUACAGGGACAAAGAGGACAUCCUGCUUUGAGGCUAUGCCAGCAGGAUAACGUAGAUCUGGGGGCUUUAGCAAAUAAGUCAGCUGAUACGUAGCAGCAAUGGGUUGGUAGGGGAGGUAUGGAUACCCAAGCGGCUAACUUCUGGGAUUUCGUCAUACAAAACAGGAGCCAAAGUAAGUGGAAGGCGGUUCUUCCUUGGGCAAGUCUGGUUCCAAGUGAAGAUUUAGGAGGGAUAUUGACAAAGUGGGCCAGUCCAGAGAUGGGCACACAAGGGGCCUUGAAACUUAUUUGAAAGGAGGGCCUGGGGCUGAUACUAGACAUUGAAAUCCAGGGAUAGGAAACUCCCUGAGAGGUCACCGUUUUUAGACAGCUGGGAAGACUCAGAUCUAAAGGCUGGAGGGCAUGGAAAAGCCUG